GGACUACUGGGGUAUCUAAUCCUGUUUGCUCCCCUAGCUUUCGUGCAUCAGCGUCAGUUAUGGUCCAGUGAGCCGCUUUCGCCACAGGUGUUCCUUCCGAUAUCUACGCAUUUCACCGCUACACCGGAAAUUCCACUCACCUCUCCCAUACUCAAGCCCGGCAGUUUCUGAUGCAGACUAUGGGUUGAGCCCAUAGAUUUCACAUCAGACUUGCCAAACCGCCUACGCACCCUUUACGCCCAAUAAAUCCGAACAACGCUUGCCCCCCUCGUAUUACCGCGGCUGCUGGCAC
rnacentral:rRNA from 1 species